UACAGAGGUCUCAAGCGUUGUUCGGAUUCAUUGGGCGUAAAGGGUGCGUAGGUGGCGAGGUAAGUCGGAUGUGAAAUCUCCGAGCUCAACUCGGAAAUGGCAUUGGAAACUACCUUGCUCGAGGGGUCGGAGGGGGACUGGAAUACUUGGUGUAGCAGUGAAAUGCGUAGAUAUCAAGUGGAACACCAGUGGCGAAGGCGAGUCCCUGGACGACUCCUGACACUGAGGCACGAAAGCUAGGGGGAGCAAACAGG
rnacentral:rRNA from 1 species